UAACUGCGAGUGAAGCGGGAAGAGCUCAAAUUUAAAAUCUGGCGGUGUUUUACCGUCCGAAUUGUAACCUAGAGAAGUGUUGCCCGUACUGGACCAUGUAUAAGUCUCCUGGGAUGGAGCGUCACAGAGGGUGAGAAACCCGUAUUUGACAUGGACUACCAGUGCAUUGUGGUAUGCUCUCAAAGAGUUGAGUUGUUUGGGAAUGCAGCUCUAAAUGGGUGGUAAAUUCCAUCUAAAGCUAAAUAUUGGCGAGAGACCGAUAGCGAACAAGUACCGUGAGGGAAAGAUGAAAAGAACUUUGGAAAGAGAGUUAAACAGUAUGUGAAAUUGUUGAAAGGGAAACGUUUGAAGUCAGUGAUUAUUGUUCAGGGAUCAAGUCAACAAGAAUUGUUGGGUGUAUUUCCUGUUCAAUAGGCCAACAUGAGUUUUGAGUGCUGGAGAAAGGCAUAGGGAAAGUGGCACCUUUUGGGUGUGUUAUAGCCCUAAGUCAUAUGCAGCGGUUAGGACUGAGGAGGACAGCGCGCCGCAAGGCCGGGUUUCGACCACGUUCGCGCUUAGGAUGUUGGCAAUAAUGGCUUUAAACGACCCGUC
rnacentral:rRNA from 1 species